rnacentral:rRNA from 1 species
AUCAAUAAGCGGAGGAAAAGAAAAUAACCAUGAUUGCCCUAGUAACGGCGAGUGAAGAGGCAAAAGCUCAAGUUUGGAAGCUCAAUGGUUUAACCAUUGCGCAUUGUAAACUGAAAACAGGAUCAAUCAGGUACACCGGGUGAUAAGUUCCUUGGAAUAGGACAUCAUGGAGGGUGAGAAUCCCGUCUUUGACCCGAGUCUAGUAUCUUUUGUAUUGGCCUGUUCAAGAGUCAGGUUGUUUGGGAAUGCAGCCUAAAGCUGGAGGUAAAUCCCUCCUGAAGCUAAAUAAUGGCGAGAGACCGAUAGCGAACAAGUACCGUGAGGGAAAGAUGAAAAGAACUCUGAAGAGAGAGUUAAACAGUACGUGAAAUUGCUUAAAGGGAAGCAUAUAAAGCUAGGAUGCGAUUGUUUUCUUCAGGUUGAGCUUUGGCUUGACUGUUCAGAAGGAUAAUCCAAGACAACAAGAAUUGGAGGAGGAGAAUAAGCCAUUGGGGAAGGUAAUCCUUCGGGAUGUUUAUAGACCUGAUGGUUCGCGCUCUUCUUUCGAUUGAGGUACGCUUUUUUUAAAGGUUGUUGUCUGAAUGGCUUUAUAUGGC